AUUUUUCAUGGCAGUAUCAUAGCCCGUGAGGUCCAGCCGAGGUGUGAUUAUUGCCUGUUGAAAACUGUUCUCUUCAGUAGGAGAAAAUUGUGUUGUUUUUUUUUACUCAAAGUAAAA
rnacentral:snRNA from 1 species